CAGGGAGACAACAAAAUGUUUAAUAUUAUUAUUUUGUCACCUUAGGUCGAUCGGUAUCUCACAUUUUUAAUUUAUUAAGAAUUUUAUUUCCUAAGUUUUUCUAGGUCACACCCAUUAUUUUUCCUGGGCCAUUAGCUCAGGUGGUUAGAGCGCACCCCUGAUAAGGGUGAGGUCCCUGGUUCAAGUCCAGGAUGGCCCAUAUCUCUAUGUUGGGGGUAUAGCUCAGUUGGUAGAGCGCCUGCUUUGCAAGCAGGAUGUCAGCGGUUCGAGUCCGCUUACCUCCACUGAUUACCACCUCUUCCAUAAAUCUUAGAAGGGAAAUGUUUUGAGUUGUGAUCACCUUCUGAACGAAUCUAGCUUCCUAAUGUAAUCAUUAAGAUGCUGGACUCAUUGAAUUAAUUUCAUUGUUUUCAGAGAACCUUGACAACUGCAUAGAUUAUUUUUAAAGACAAUAAGCAUCUUUAAUGAUGCAGAUUUAUUAUUUGUGCGAAUGCAUUAAUAACAAUUCUAUUAAGCUGAUGCUUCAAUUUUGAAGUUAUU
rnacentral:tRNA from 1 species